GUGUCAGCAGCCGCGGUAAUACGAAGGGGGCUAGCGUUGUUCGGAAUUACUGGGCGUAAAGCGUGCGCAGGCGGCCAUCCAAGUCAGUGGUGAAAGCCCGGAGCUCAACUCCGGAAUUGCCAUUGAAACUGUUUGGCUCGAGUACGAGAGAGGUGAGUGGAAUUCCCAGUGUAGAGGUGAAAUUCGUAGAUAUUGGGAAGAACACCGGUGGCGAAGGCGGCUCACUGGCUCGUAACUGACGCUCAUGCACGACAGCGUGGGGAUCAAACAGGAUUAGAUACCCCCGUAGUCC
rnacentral:rRNA from 1 species